CAAAACCAAAGCACACAGUAGCGUGCCUUAUGUCUGGAAUGAACUUGCAUACUUGCCAGUUAACAGGCUCAUAAGCCACGAAGAAGCCCAGAAUUCCGUGCCUCUGGACGCGUCACAGCCUGAACGCUGCUCCCACAGGGUCUUAUAUUGCUCCUGGGAAAAUCGGGGUCUUCUCUCAGUGGUCUUUGUCUCAUGGUGGAAGAAUUUGAGAAUGGACUCCAUCAAAUUAACCCUCCAGCUUCUGAGAGAAGGCAGAUGGAGGAAAGGAAGGGAGAAAGCCAUGCCAUAGUAAGCAGCCACAUAAUGGAAAGGUGAGAUAAAUAACUUAGAAAAAGAACAAGAAAGCCCAGAAUGUCUGGGAAAGCAAAGCAUGCCCAGGCUUUGGAAGAAGAAAAAAGGAGGGGUGUUUGUUUGUUUAUUUGUUUGUUUUAAGAAAAAAAAGUUAUAUUUUUCUGGGUCUCAAGCCUUAGAAAGAUGGGCAUUCCCAAGAGAGUCUCAUGCUGGUACUAUAGCAACUGUACAGAGGUCAGGAAUUCUGGGAAGGAAAAAUCUUAUAAAAGGGAUAAAUACUCCUCCCAUUCCUUUAGCAUGCUACCAGGUGAACCCAUCUCCCCAAGAGGUGGUCCCAUCUUCCUCCCAACUGGAAUGUGGGGUCUUCACCCAGGCUAGAGAGUUCAGUUCCUUGAUGAGAAUAAAAUAAUUGUCCCAUUUAAUGAACCUCCAAUGCUACUGCAAUAAUAUAACCCAGGCUGGCCUUGAACUCCUGACCUUUCUGCCUUCACCUCCCAAGUGCUGAGAUUAGAGAUACAUACCUUCAUGCUCAGCUAAUCAGGAAGUUAGGUGUAGUGAAGAGUGGUGGGCUGCGUUUCUGCCACCUGGCUCCCAGCCGCCUGGCUAGCUUAUGCCCCGAAAUAACAACACACAAAUUGUAUUUUUUUAAACACUGCCUGGCCCAUUAGUUCCAGCCUCUUAUUGGCUAAUUCUCACAUCUUGAUUAACCCAUUUCUAAUAAUGUGUGUAGCACCAUUACCAGGAAGAUUCUAGCCUACGUCCAUCUUGGGUCGGAGCUUCAUCACAUCUGCAUCACUGCCUUCUACCCAGCAUCCUGUUCUGUUUACUCCGCCUACCUAAUAUUCUGUCCUAUCAAAGGGCCAAGGCAGUUUCUUUAUUAACCAAUGAAAUCAACAGAUAGACAAAUGACCUUCCCACAUCAGUUAGUUGUGAGUGGAAGCCAGGCAUAGUGAUAAUGUACUGUAACCUCAGCACCUGAGAAACUGGAGCAGGAGGACUGCAAGUUCAAGGCCAGUCCAUGCUGGCUACUUCAUGAGUUACAGAUAUGCCUGGGCUAUAGAAUACAAUUUGUUUCAGAAAGACAAAGGGCCAAGGCUGGAAACAUGGUUCAACAGUUAAAGGCACUGAUUGCUCUUCCAGAGGACCAGGGUUCAAUUCCCAGCAACCACAUGAAAACUAACCACGGUCUAACUUCAGUUCCAGGGGAUCUGAUGUCAUUUCCUGGCCUUGAAGGACACAAGGCACACAUGUGGUAUGCAGACAUACAUGCAAGUAAAAUACUUAUACACAUAUGGGGAGGGGAGAAAAGGGGAUGGGGAAAGGAGAAGAGGAGGGGGAGAGGGAAGAAAAGAGAAGGGAAAGGGAAAGGAAGCGAAAGGAAGGGUCAGGUAUGGUGGCAUACAGUUUUGGUCCCAGAACUUGAUAGGCAGAGGCAGGUGGAUCUCUGAGUUUCAAGCCAUCCCAGGUAGUAUAGUGAGAACCUGUCUCAGAAAAGGGGGGAAGAGGAUGAGUGUUUGCCUAGUAUUCAUGAAGCCAUGGGUUCGACCCAAGCCCACCAUAAACUGUUGGUGGUAGGGUAUGUCUGUAACCACAACUCUUGUGAAGUGGAAGAAAGAGGACCACUGGGACUGGAGAGAUGGCUCAGAAGUUAAGAGUGCUGUCUGCUCUGUCAGAGGUCCUGAGUUCAAUUCCCACCAACCACAUGGUGGCUCACAACCAUCUAUAAUGAGAUCUGGUGCCCUCUUCUGGCAUGCAUACAUGCAGGCAGAACACUAUAUACAUAAUAAAUAAAUAAAUCUUUACAAAGAAGAAGGAAAGAGAGAGAGAGAGAAGGAAGGAAGGAAGGAAGGAAGGAAGGAAGGAAGGAAGGAAGGAAGGAAGGUCAAAAGUUCAAGGUUAUCCUUGGCUACAUAGUGAGUUCAAGGCCACCCCAGGUUAUCCUGUUGGAAAUCAAAAAGAAGCUAUGGUUGGGAAACUCAAAGUAAGCAGCUUUAGGCUGCUUAGCAUAGAUAUGACCUUCUUGAAUGUGACCACAAAAGAGCCUGUUGAGAGGAUGUUUGUUCACCCUCCCAGCCCCUAACAUUAGAACAGGAACUGCUAGAGAGAUGAAUAUUUUUCAUUGGUGUGGAUCUUGGUUUAUUGAUACAAAUUUAAGGCCAAUUUUGUGAUAUGUAUAUUUCUGCUCUUGAUAAAGGCACUGUGUUUGUACAGCUCAUUUGAAAAUGUAAUGCAUAACUAAGGAAUAUAGGUCAAUAGUCAGCUAUAAUGUAGUCAUGUUAGUUAGGUUUUCUAGAUGCACAGAGAUAUUUUUCAGAUGGAUGAGUAUAUUCGAACCUUUCAAAGACCUUCAGAAUAUGGCAUUUAAAAUGUUUUAUUUAAGAACUUAGGAUUUUUCAUGACAAUGAGACACAUCUGCUCCUAGCAGCACCAAUCUACUUCAAGAGGAUGAUGGACAUCAAAGAGGCUCCUUAUGGAGGUUGUGGGCCAUUUGGGCAAGAAACUGCUCUUGCCUGGACUGUUUGAUGUUAUGCUGUUUAAAAUUGACAUGUAGGACCCACAGAGAAAUGACUGCUGAUCUUGCCUAAAGGUGAGACGGUCCUUCAGGGUUCCUAUUUCAUAAAAGAGUCUGCCAGACAUUCUACAGGAUACAGAAGAAAGUGACUGACAAACUGUCAAUAGAGGCGAAACAGUCUUUCAAAUCUCCUGCUUCGUGGAAAAGUCUAUCAGAUAAUAUGGGCCUGUAGGCUGAAGAUGGAUGCCCCAAUGUUACAGAAGAACUUUGAGUGACUGUCCAGGCAAUAAGAUGUCUCUGUCAAUUCUAGAGUUUUGGAAGUUGCUUACAAUGCACUCCUUGUUUACAUAGGUAAUAAUAUAUCCUUCUGGGGUCUAUGAUGGAGUUGAAGAAUAAAUAGUUAUAAUCAAAGUUUUUAUUAGUUACAAUAAAAGAUGAAGUAGAUAUAAAUAUUAUAACUGUAAUUCUUGCUUGAUACCUGUUUUGUUAUGUGUAAUUUUACUAUGUUAAAGUUAAAACCUUUCUUUUUUAUUUAGACAGAAAAGGGGAGGUGAUGUGGGAUUUCCCUCUGAAUGCUAUGAAUAUGUUUUAUUAUUAAAGAAGCUGCUUCGGCCAAUAGCUUAGCAGAGUAAAUCCAGGCAGGAAAUCUGAAGAGAGAUAUAGAAAGAAAGUACGUGGAGUCAAAGUAUGCCAUAUAAGUUGCCGAAGGAGAAAGACAGUGAGCGCCAGCCAGAACCUUACCAGUAUGCCACAGCCUCAUGGUGAUACACAGUUUUAUAGAAAUGGAUUAAUUUAAGAUGUAAGAGUUAGCUAGAAAUAUGCAUGAGCUAAUUGGCCAAGCAGUGUUGUAAUUAAUAUAGUUUCUGUAUAAUUAUUUCAGGUAUGGGCAGCCGGGAAACAAACAAGCAGUCUCCACCAACAAGGAACUCCUUUCUUCAGCCUUUUUCACUUAAGAAUCCCACCCAUUCCUUUUAUUUUCACCUCAAGGAAGCUUAGUUAAGGUUUCAUUUCUGUGGAGAGACAUCAUGACCACUUUUUUUUUUUCAAGACAGGGUUUCUCUGCAGCUUUGGAGCCUGUCCUGGAACUAGUUCUUAUAGACCAGGCUGGCCUCGAACUCAUAGAGAUUCAUCUGCCUCUGCCUCCCAAGUGCUGGGACUAAAGGUGUCUCACAGCACCUCUUAUAAAGGAGAACAUUUAACUGGGGCUGGCUUACAGUCUCAGAGGUUUAGUCCAUUGUCAUCAUGGUGGAACAUGGAGGCAUGCAGGCAGACAUGGUAAUAGAGAAGCAGUCGAGAGUUCUAAUUCUUGAUCCAAGGCAACAGGAAGUGAACUGUCACACUAGCCAUGGCUUGAGUAUUUAUGAGCCCUCAAAGCCUACCUCCACAGUGACACACUUCCUCCAAUUAGGCCACACCUCCUAACAGUGCCACUCCCUAUAGGCCCAGCAUUCAAACACAUGAGUCUAUGGGGACUGUUCCUACUCAAACCACCACAGAGGCCAAAGUCCCACAGUGCUUGACCUGAGAGCAGGUUUUGUUAUUUAGCACUAAUAGGAACAAAGGAAAGGAAAGGGACAAGGACUAAGUGACUACCGCUUCCUCCCCCAUGUCUGCCUUCAUCUGCUGAUAACUAAAGCAGAACUGCCUUUCCCAGCUACAGUCACUAAGUAUACUUAAUGGCUGGGCCAGGGAUGGCCAGGAAAGUCCCGUGUAAACGGAGAUGGCUCGUUUGUUUCCCGGCUGCCCAGACCCAAAUAAUGACACAGAAACUAAUUAAUUAGAACACUGUUUGGCCAAUAGCUUAGGUGGAUUCCUACCUAGCUCUUACAUCUUAAAUUAAACAAUUUCUAUUAAUCUGUGUACCACCACAAAGCUGUGGCCUGCCGGUAAGGUCCAGCUACAUGGUGUCUCCCUGGCUCCACCUUCUUUCUCCCUGCAUUCAGUUUAGUUUUUCCAUCAAGAUCUAUUCUGUUCUGUCAUAGGCCAAAGCAGCUUCUUUAUUAACUAAUGGUAAUAAAACAUAUUCAUAGCAUACAGAGGAAAAUCACACCAGUUUCAGAACAGCCUGGUUUCCAAAUGGCAACACAUUAUUAGGGUGCUUUAUUUGCCCAAAGAUUGACUCUUAGCAGUUCCCAUUCAGCCUGACUAAAAAGAAGAAAGAGAAACUAGAGGUUAAAGUGUGUGUGUGUCUGUCUGUCUGUGUGUGUGUGUAUGUCUUUGUAUGUGUAUCUCUGUGUAUCUAUUUGUCAUAACUGUCUGUAUAACUCAUCCCUCAUUGUUAUUAGCCUUAAAAGAAAUUAUUAAAAGUAAAUUUUAAAUUAAAAUGUGCUGGGCAGGGUGCUUGAAUCUAGUUUCUAUUGCUGAGUAAAUUGGAGAAGAAAGCACCUUAGGUAAGAAAGUUAUCUGGUUUACACAUCCUGAUCACAGUCCAUCAUUGAAGGAAGCCAAGGUGAGACCUCAAGCAGAAACCUGGAGGCAGGAACUGAUGCAGAGGCCCUCGAGGAUGCUGCUACUGGCUUGCUCCACAUAGUUUGCUCAGCCUACUUUCUUAUAGAAUCCAGGACCACCUGCCCAGGACGAGCACUGCCCAUACGGAGCUGGGCUCUUCCACAUCAAUCACCAAUCACAAAAAUGUCCCACAGACUGGCCUACAGGUUAAUCUGAAGGGACAUUUUCUCCAUUGAGAUAUUCUGCACUGUAAUAAGCCCAAAGUAUCUCCUUUGUUAACCAACGGCAUUCACAGCAUAUAGAAGGAAUCCCACAUCACGCGUCCCUCCCCAGUCCAUGGCAGCCCACCAGCCAAUUAGCAGGUAAGACUCCUGUGCACAGGUUGCUCCACCACAUCCACCUCCUACUGAACCCUGUAAUCUACAAAUCCCACUCCACGCACUCCUUGAAAUCCUCCUACCACUGCCAACCAUCCACCAUGGCAUCAGCAGCCCCGGGAAGCACAGGCACUGCCUGCACCCACUGGAGGAAGAGAUGGGUAGACGCCAAUGUAAGAAGACAUGGAACAACAUGAAGAGCCCUAUGGCACCACCAGGCCCUAGUGGCUCUACAACAGCAAGACCUGAACAUCACAACUGACCUUAAAAAUAACUUUAUGAAGAUACUAGAGGCCCUUAAAGAGAAAAUGAAAAAUUCCCUUAAAGAAAUUGAGGAAGUCGGACAAUGGUAGCGCAUGCCUUUAAUCCAGCACUUGGGAGGCAGAGACAGGCCUCUCUGUGAGUUCAAGGCCAGCAUGGUCUACAGAGCUCCAAAGCUCUAGGACAGGCUCCAAAGCUACAGAAAAACCCUGUCUUGAAAAAAAAUUGAGGAAAAGACAAAAAAAAUGGAAGAUAAAUCCCUUAAAGCCAACAGCUUAAACAGUUAAAUAGGUGAAGGAAACAGUUCUCAAGACUUCAAAAUUGAAGCAGAGGCAAUAAAGAAAACACAAACAGAGGGAAUUCUCGAAAUGGAAAAUCAGGGUAAACAGGGACUACAAGAUGCAAGCAUAACCAACAGAAUGCAAGAGAUGGGAGAGAGAAUUUCAGGCGUUGAGAACAUGAUAGAGGAAAUAGAUUUGUCGGUCAAAAAAAAAUAUUAAACCCAAAAAGUGUUAACACAACACAACCAAUAAAUCUGUGAUACCAUGAAAAGACCAAAUCUAAAAAUAAUAGGGAUAGAAAAAGAAAAAUACAAACUUAAAGACACAGAAAAUAUAUUCAACAAAAUACUUUAGUUAGAAAAAAUUUCCUAACCUAAAGAAGGAUAUGCCUAUGAAGACACAGAAGCUUACAGAACAUAUAAUGGCAGACCUAUCAGAAUUAAUGGAGACUCUGAAAGCCAGAAGGUCCUGGACAGAUGUUUUGCAGACACUAAGAGACUACAGAUGCAAGCUCAGACUACUAUACCCAACAAAGCUUUCAAUCACCAUAGAUGGAGAAAACAAGAUAUAACACGACAAUACCAUAUUUAAUACUUAUCCACAAAUCCAGCCCUACAGAAAGUGCUAGAGAAAAACAACAAUCCAAGAAAGUUAACUGCACCCACAAAAACACAGUCAAGAGAUAAUCUCACACCAGGAAAUCACAAAGAAGGGAAACACACACACUACCAACAACAACAAAACCCAAAAUUAACAGGAAUUAAUCACUUGGGGAAAAUUCUUUUCAGAUGUGUGGCUUUUGUUUAUUCUGCAUUUGUUUAACUCUGUGAAGCUGUGAUCCUUUGCCUGUCUAAACCGCCUGAUGGUCCUAAUAAAGAGCUAAACGGCCAAUAGCAUGGUAGGAGCAAGAAUAGGUGUGUUGUAUUAGGAGCAGCGGGGCUGCGUCCCCGGCACCCGGCUACCUGCAUGGCUUAUGCAGCUUUUCACCCGAAAUAAUUACACGGAAACUGUAUUCUUUUAAACACUGCCUGGCCCAUUAGUUCCAGCCUCUUUUUGGCUAGCUCUUACAUAUUGACCUAACCCAUUUCUAACAAUCUGUGUAGCCCACGAGGUGGCUUAACAGGGAAGAUCUUAACCUGCGUCUGUCUGGAGUGGGAGAAUCAUGGCGACUCCCUUGACUCAGCUUCUUUCUCCCAGCAUUCUGUUCUGUUUACUCCGCCUGCCUAAUUUUAUGUCCUAUUAAAGGGCCAAGGCAGUCUCUUUAUUUAACCAAUGAAAUUAACACAAGCCAGAAGACUCUCCCCCAUCAUUGGUGGAGCUGGCAGGCACAGAAGGAGAAACCAGGAAGAAGAGAAGGAAAAAGAAGACAAGGAGAGGAGGACAUCAGGGGCCAGCCACCCAGCUACACAGCAAGCACAGAGAAAGAAGUAAAGGAAGGUAUACAGAAAUAAAGAAAGAUAAAAGCCUGGAGGCAAACGGUAGUUGGGAUAAUUUAAGGUAAGAAAAGCUGGUAAAAAACAAGUCAAGCUAAAGCUAGGCAUUCAUAACUAAGAAUAAGCCUCUGUGUUUGAUUUACUUGGGAGCUGGGUAGUGGGCCCAUCAAAGAGCCAAAAGAAUAAAACAUCACACAACAUUUUGGUGUACCAUCAUAGGGCUCGAAUAUCCAUCUAGAGCCUGAGAAAGCAGAAAAAGAAUAUGGCUCCUUUAAGAGUUUGUGCCUGCUGGCUAGCCCCUGAGCAGCCAGGAUGUCAAAGUAGGAACAAAAAACAAAAGUGCCUGCCACAGUGCAAGCAUUGGCAUUCUAGAGCUCUAGGAAGAUUGGACGUAGUUCCUGGUCACUACCUUCAUCCUGGCAGCAAGCCUUGGGCUUGACUUUCACAACUAACCCGAGAAAGGGCAGAACCAGCUUCUAGAGCACACAGAUGCCAGUGUAGCUUAACAAUCUAAAGUUUGCUCAUGCGUCAAAAAGGUUAAAAGAUGUGCAGUAAAUGAGGUCCAGAUUUGGAAAAAAAAAAAAAAAAACCUCUAAAUAGUUUCCACUGUGUUUUACAGUGUGUGUGGGCUUAAGAAAGAAAGAAAAUGGGUAUAGGCUAUAGGUUAUAGAAAGAAAUGAAUGGCUUUUUAAAAAGAAAGUCUUUAAAGAGGGAGUAAAAGUAAUAUAAAAGAAAAAGCCAUGUAAGACAGGAAAUGCCCAGGGAGUCCGGGUCCUGUCCACUAUUGUGCUGAUUUUGAAUUUUUGGACUGCUGAGAAGCAAAGGGCAGUGGCUGAGAGGCCUGGAAUUAAAAGAGGGGCUGUGGAAAUACUAGAUAUUUUAAGAAUGCCUUAACUUUAAAAAAGUAAAAAAAAAAUGUAUUUGUCAAAUGGAAAUCAAAAAUGCUUUGGAAAAGUGGUUUUGCUUUUGUUUUCCACAGGAAACAAGAGGCUGUGGAUUCAUUCCGGGUUGAUUUAAAUCUGGUUUGAUCAGUGGAGACCUCCUGAAACUUGACAAGUGAAUUUUAUUAAAUCAAACACAUCUUUGCAUCAUUAAACAAAUGUUCCAGAGCGUAAGCAAAAGCACUUCACCUGAAAAUAAUAUUCUACAGCAAUCACUGGUCAUUAAAAUUCCUUAAUAUCAAUGGGCUCCAUUCACCUAUAAAAAGACACAAGCUAACAGAAUGCAUCCAUUCUUCUGCUGCAUAUAAGAACAGCACCUCAGCUUCAAAGACAGAUACUACCUCAGAAUAAAAGGUUGGGGAAAGAUUUUCUAAUCAAAUGGACAUAAGAAGCUGCUGUGGCUAUCCUAAUAUCUAACAAAUUAGACUUCAAACUAAUAUUGACCAAAAGAGAUGGAGAAGAAUAUUUCAUAUUCAUCACAGGAAAAAAAUUCAUCAAGAUGAAGUCUCAGUUCUGAGCAUCUAUGCCCCAAAUACAAGGACACCCACAUUUGUGAAAGAAACAUUGCUAAAGCUUAAAUCACACAUCAAAACCCACACACUAAUAGUGGGAGACUUCAACACUCCACUCUCACCAAUGGGCUGGUCUGCCAGACAGAAACUUAGUAGAGGAAUAAUGGAACUAACAGAUGUCAUGAUUCAAAUGGGCUUAACAGACAUCUAUAGAACAUUCCACCCAAACACAACAGAAUAAACCUUUUUCUCGAAUCUUCAUGGAACCUGCUCUAAAACUGACCACAUACUUCGUCACGAAGCAAAUCUCAAUAGAAAAAAAUUGGAAUAAUGCCCUGUAUCUUAUCGGAUGACUUAAAGUUAGAAUACAACAUCACAAAUUACAGAAAGUCUGCAAACUCAUGGAAACUGAGUAAUGCUCAUCUGAAUUACCACUGGGUCAAGUAAGAAAUAAAAAAAGAAAUUAAAGACUUUCCAGAAUUCAAUAAAGAUAAAUGUACAAGCCAGGCGGUGGUGGCGCACGCCUUUAAUCCCAGCACUUGGGAGGCAGAGGCAGGCGGAUCUCUGUGAGUUCGAGACCAGCCUGGUCUACAAGAGCUAGUUCCAGGACAGCCUCCAAAACCACAGAGAAACCCUGUCUCGAAAAAAAAAAAAAGAUAAAUGUACAAUAUUCCCAAAUUUAUGGGACACUAUGAAAGCAGUGUUAAGAGGAAAGUUCAAAGCACUAAUUGCCCAUAUUUAAAAAAAAUUGGAGAAUCUCACACUAGUGACUUAACAGCAUACCUGAAAACUCUAGAACAAAAAGAAGUAAAUUCACACAGGAGUAGAUGACAGGAAAUAAUCAAAUUGAGGGCUGAAAUCAAUAAAAAUAGAAACAAAGAGGACAAUACAAAAAAAUCAGUGAAACAAAGAGUUGGUUCUUUGAGAAAAUCAACAUGACAGGCAAACUCUUAUCCAAACUUGAUGUGGGAUGUCCUUCUCUAUAUGUGUUGCUUUUAUUGGUUGAUAAAUAAAGCUGUUUUGGCCAAUGGCUUAGCAGAGUAAAGCCAGGCAGGAAAUUCAAACAGAGAAAUUUAGAGAGAAUAGGUGGAAUCAGAGAGAUUUCAUGUAGCUGCUGAAGGAGGAGGAUGCUGGAAACUUACCAGUAGGCCACAGCCUCAUGGUGAUACACAGAUUAAUAAUGGGUUAAUUUAAGAUGUAAGGGCUAUCUAGGAAUAUGCCUAAGCUAUUGGCCAAACAGUGUUGCAAUCAAUAUAGUUUCUGUGUGAUUAUUCAGGUCUGGGUGGUCGGGAACAAAAAGCAGUCUCAAUUUAUACAAGCUAACCAAAAGACAAGGGCAGAAUAUCCAAAUUUUAAAAAAUCAGAAAUGAAAAAGGGGACAUAAUAACAAAUGCUGAGGAAAUUCAUGAAAUUAUUACAUCAUACUUCAAAAACCUGUAUUCCACAAAAUUGGAAAAUCUAAAAGAAAUGGUUGAUUUUUCUGGAUAGGUACCACAUACCAAAAUAAAAUCUAGACCAGAUAAACAAUUUAACUAGACCUAUAACUCCUAAAAAAAUAAAAGCAAUCAUUAAAAGUCUCCCAACCAAAAAAAAAAAAGUCUAGGGCUAGAUAGUUUCAGUACAGAAUUUUACCAGAAUUCCAAAAAAGAGCUAAUACCAAUUCUCCUCGAAUUGUUCCACACAAAAGAUAUAGAAGUAACAUUGCCAAACUCUUUUUAUGAGACAAUAGUUACCCUGAUACCUAAAUCACACAAAGACUUAACCAAGAAAGAGAAUUACAAACCAAUCUCCCUCAUGAACAUUGAUACAAAAAUUAUCAAUAAAAUACUGGCAAACCGAAUCCAAGAACACAUCAAAACAAAUCAUCCAUCAUGAUCAAGCAGAUUUCAUCCCAGUGAUGCAGGGAUGAUUCAACAUAUGAAAAUCUGUUGGUAUAAUCUACCAUAUAAAUAAACUGAAAGUAAAAAAAAACACAUGAUGAUUUCAUUAGAUGCUGAAAAAGCCUUCAACAAAAGCCAACAUCCCUUUAUGAUAAAGGUCUUGCAGAGAUCAGGUGUACAAGGAACAUUCCUAAAUAUAAUAAAGGCAAUAUACAGCAAGCUGAGAGCCAACAUCAAUCUAAAUGGAGAGAAACUCAAGGUGAUUCCACUAAUAUCAGAAAAAGACAAGGCUGUCCACUUUCUCCAUAUCUGUACAAUAUAGGACUGGAAGUUCUAGCUAGAGCAAGAAGACAACAAAAAGAGAUCAAGGGGAUACAAAUCAGAAAGGAAGAAGUCAAACUUUCACUAUUUGCAGAUGAUAUGAUAGUAUGCAUAAAUGAUCUCAAAAAUUCUACCAGAGAACUCCUGGUAGAAUUACUGUUAACACCUUAAGUAAUGUGACAGGAUACAAGAUUUACUCAAAAAAAUCAGUAGCCCUCCUAUAUACAAAUGAUAAACAGGCUAAGAAAGAAAUCAGAGAAAUAUCACCCUUCACAAUAGCCACAAAUUUUUUUUAUAUAUAUAUAUAAAAUCUUGGGGUAACUCUAACCAAACAAGUGAAAAAUCUGUAUGUUAAGAACUUUAAGUCUUUGAAGAAAGAAAUUGAAGAAGAUAUCAGAAAAUGCAAUUCCCAUCAAAAUCCCAAUACAAUUCUUCACAGACCUAAAAAGAAUAAUACUCAACUUCAUAUAGAAGGAUUUAUGGCUAGAAUCCACUAAUAAGUGAGUACAUACCAUAUUCAUCUUUUUUGGGUCUGGGAUAUCUCACUUAUAUAGUGGUUUCUAUUUCCAUCCAUUUGCAUGCAAAAUUCAAGAUGUCAUUGUUUUUUACCACUGAGUAGUACUCUAAUGUGUAUAUAUUCCACACUUUCUUUAUCCAUUCUUCCAUUGAGGGGCAUCUAGGUUGUUUCCAGGUUCUGGCUAUUACAAAUAAUGCUGCUAUGAACAUAGUUGAACAAAUGCUUUUGUAGUAUGAUUGGGCAUCUCUUGGGUAUAUUCCCAAGAGUGGUAUUGCUGGAUCCUAAUGUAGAUUGAUUCUCAAUUUCCUGAGAAACCACCACACUGAUUUAAAAAAAAAAACAGACAGAGGGCUGGAGAGAUGGGUCAGUUAAGCACUGGCUCCUCUUCCAGAGGACCUGAGUUCAAUUCCCAGCACCCACACAGCUGCUCACAACUGUCUGUAACUCCAGUUCCAAAGAUUCUGACACCUUUGCACCCAUGCAUACAAAAUAAAUGGAAAUAAAUUAUUUUUUUGAAAAGACAGAGAGAAAGGAAGAAAGAGAAAAGGGAUAUGAGAAGAAAGGGUGGGGGUGUGGAAGGAAAGGACGGAAGGGGGAAACCAGAGAGUAUGGGAAGGAGAUACAGGAUUUCUAGAUUUUUUUUUAAAGGAGCGUUUCUUAAUUUGUCUGAGUGAGGUAAUGUGUCAAAAAUAUUUGUGUAGGGUGGGUGGAAGACACCCACAGGCCUGCCCAAGCGGAACAGUUCGUAUGCUGUGGAGAAAGGAGGAACAGGAACUAAAGAAGCAAAGGCAAGAACAGGCUGAGGUUGGCGCCCGGCACUGCUACCCAGAGUCACGGUGACAUCAGGCCUAGUCUGCUCCUGAGAGUCGUCGUCUGUGUCUGUGAUCUUACCACAGCUGGGGUCUGUGUGGACAGCUGUGGCUUCUGUUACCACCAAAGGCUGUGCAGAUGCUGCAGCCUGAGACUUUGUUGGAGUGAGAGCAAGCUGCUGCCAGAGCUAUGCUGAUAUGGGAGACCUGCACUGCCACCUAGGCUGCUGCCAAGAGCCAAGUCUGGGUCCCGUGGUCCUGCUGUAGCUAGAGUCUGUGUUAUCCCCAAGGGCCAUGCAAACCAUGCCUGUUGAAAUCCAAGGGCCACGCUGAGCCAUCUGGUCCUGCCCUGUGAUACUGGCUGCAGUGGUAGAGCUGGCCCCACCCCUCACCAUGAGUGCAGGAGUGCUGGCUCUGUCCCUCACCUGAGGGGAACAGUCCCAGUGGAGGCCUGAACUGAGGAACUCAGCUACCACCCAGACCCACAUCCAGGACUUUGAGUGGGCCCACCCAGCAUCCACCCUAUCUAUGACCUGCUGGAGCACAUGAAGGGACCGAUCCUAAGGAACCAUAACUGCAGGAUCUCCAUGACACAGGGCAACAGCCGGUUAUUCUAGAGGAGUCUCAGUGAGGGUCCAGGAUUGGUGGUGUUCUAGAAGCCAGAGGCCUUGACAACUCAUUACAAUGAACAUUUGCAAGUAAAGCUGUUUGACCCAAAGGGUGCACUGCACGACACACCUCAGUUCCCAGUGCCACCAAGAUGAAAGAAGACCAUGGGGAGCUGGGAAAGAGAGAGAGAAGCAAAGUGAUUUUCUUUGUUUGUUUGCUUGCUUACUUUAAUGUUUUUUUUAUUUCAUUUUGAGGAGGGACACUUCCAGGGUAAAGCACAGAUAUGGAGGGACAGGGAAAUCAGUGGGAUUUGGGGUGCAUGAUGUGAAACGCCCAAAGAAUCAAUUAAAAAUUACGUUUUAAAAAUUUGUAUAUCGGUCAUAAUUAUUCAUAAUUUGUUAAUAAAUAUGCUUGGAAUUUAUGAAAGACAAACAGGUUUUUUCUUUCUCCCUUGUUGAAAUAGGAGCGGCAGGGCUGCGUCCCCGGCACCCGGCCGCCCGCAUGGCUAGUUUAUACCCAGAAAUAAUUACACGGAAACUGUAUUCUUUCAAACACUGCCUGGCCCGGCUAGGUCCAGUUUCUUAUUGGCUAGCUCUUACAUAUUGUUCUAACCCAUUUCUAAUAUUCUGUGUAGCCCAUGAGCUGGCUUACCAGAGAGGAUCUUAACCUGCGUCUGUCUGGAGUGGGAGCAUCAUGGCGACUCACUCACUCAGCUUCUUUUUCCCAGCAUUCUCCUCUGUCUACUCCGCCUACCUAAUUUUCUGUCCUAUGAGGGCCGAGGCAGUUUCUUUAUUAUUAACCAAUGAAAUCAACAGAUAAGAUACAAGACCCACCUCCAUCACUCCCUCUCUUUGUUGUUGUUGUUGCUUUUCAAGACAGAAUCUUUUUGCAUAGCCCUGUCUGUCCUGGAACUCACUCUGUAGAUGAGGCUGGUCUAAAACUCAGAGAUCCACUUGCCUCUUCCUCCCCAAGUGCUGGGAUUAAAGGUGUGUGCCACCACCGUCAGACUUUUAGCUCAGCUCCUUGAAAUGCCCAGGGUUGUCCCACAAGGUACAGAAAAAAAAAACCAUGGUUCCACCUUCACCUUAAGCAAGUAGGCUGCCCCAGGAGGAGGGUAGCCUUGGUGGCAAAUAUGGCUGAGUCUCUGCUGCCUACUGGAGGCAAUUGUUGACACUUUCCCAUGCCCUCCUAAUAGUUUGUCCCUUUAGCCAAGGGGACAACUGGGCACAUCCCCACACUCACCGUUUGCACAAAGUAGUGCCAUUCUGAGCUGUCUCUGUCUUGUGUCCCUUUCUAAUUCAAAAAAAAAAUAAUUCCCAUAAAUAAAACAUUUGACUGAGGUAUUGUGUUUCACACACAAGCAUACGCACACACAUACACACACACACACACAGAAAGAGAGAGAGUGGGAGUGGGGAUUAAAUAAGCAAUUUCAAAAGAGAAAGAGAGUGGACUCCAGGCCGGGCCUGAGUCAUGUGUCUCACAAAGGAGUGGGAGGAAGGGAAGGAA